rnacentral:rRNA from 1 species
GAUAAACGCUGGCGGCGUGCCUAAUACAUGCAAGUCGAGCGAACGGACGAGAAGCUUGCUUCUCUGAUGUUAGCGGCGGACGGGUGAGUAACACGUGGAUAACCUACCUAUAAGACUGGGAUAACUUCGGGAAACCGUAGCUAAUACCGGAUAAUAUUUUGAACCGCAUGGUUCAAAAGUGAAAGACGGUCUUGCUGUCACUUAUAGAUGGAUCCGCGCUGCAUUAGCUAGUUGGUAAGGUAACGGCUUACCAAGGCAACGAUGCAUAGCCGACCUGAGAGGGUGAUCGGCCACACUGGAACUGAGACACGGUCCAGACUCCUACGGGAGGCAGCAGUAGGGAAUCUUCCGCAAUGGGCGAAAGCCUGACGGAGCAACGCCGCGUGAGUGAUGAAGGUCUUCGGAUCGUAAAACUCUGUUAUUAGGGAAGAACAUAUGUGUAAGUAACUGUGCACAUCUUGACGGUACCUAAUCAGAAAGCCACGGCUAACUACGUGCCAGCAGCCGCGGUAAUACGUAGGUGGCAAGCGUUAUCCGGAAUUAUUGGGCGUAAAGCGCGCGUAGGCGGUUUUUUAAGUCUGAUGUGAAAGCCCACGGCUCAACCGUGGAGGGUCAUUGGAAACUGGAAAACUUGAGUGCAGAAGAGGAAAGUGGAAUUCCAUGUGUAGCGGCGAAAUGCGCAGAGAUAUGGAGGAACACCAGUGGCGAAGGCGACUUUCUGGUCUGUAACUGACGCUGAUGUGCGAAAGCGUGGGGAUCAAACAGGAUUAGAUACCCUGGUAGUCCACGCCGUAAACGAUGAGUGCUAAGUGUUAGGGGGUUUCCGCCCCUUAGUGCUGCAGCUAACGCAUUAAGCACUCCGCCUGGGGAGUACGACCGCAAGGUUGAAACUCAAGGGAAUUGACGGGGACCCGCACAAGCGGUGGAGCAUGUGGUUUAAUUCGAAGCAACGCGAAGAACCUUACCAAAUCUUGACAUCCUUUGACAACUCUAGAGAUAGAGCCUUCCCCUUCGGGGGACAAAGUGACAGGUGGUGCAUGGUUGUCGUCAGCUCGUGUCGUGAGAUGUUGGGUUAAGUCCCGCAACGAGCGCAACCCUUAAGCUUAGUUGCCAUCAUUAAGUUGGGCACUCUAAGUUGACUGCCGGUGACAAACCGGAGGAAGGUGGGGAUGACGUCAAAUCAUCAUGCCCCUUAUGAUUUGGGCUACACACGUGCUACAAUGGACAAUACAAAGGGCAGCGAAACCGCGAGGUCAAGCAAAUCCCAUAAAGUUGUUCUCAGUUCGGAUUGUAGUCUGCAACUCGACUACAUGAAGCUGGAAUCGCUAGUAAUCGUAGAUCAGCAUGCUACGGUGAAUACGUUCCCGGGUCU